AGGAGAGUUUGAUCCUGGCUCAGAACGAACGCUGGCGGCGCGUCUUAAGCAUGCAAGUCGAAUGGCAAGAUAGAGCUUGCUCUAUCCUAGAAUGGCGGACUGGUGAGUAACGCGUGGGUGACGUACCCUUUAGAUGGGGAUAGCUGAUAGAAAUAUCAGAUAAUACCGAAUAAGCUGCAUGGAGUUAGAGUUCAUGCAGGAAAGGAUCUUUUGAUCCGCUGAAGGAGCGGCCCGCGUACUAUUAGUUAGUUGGUGAGGUAACGGCCCACCAAGGCGAUGAUAGUUACCCGGCCUAAGAGGGUGAUCGGGCACAUUGGGACUGAGAUACGGCCCAGACUCCUACGGGAGGCAGCAGCUAAGAAUAUUCCGCAAUGGACGAAAGUCUGACGGAGCGACGCCGCGUGGAUGAUGAAGGCCGGAAGGUUGUAAAAUCCUUUUAAGUGUGAAGAAUAAGUAGUGUGAGAGAAACGCAUUAUGGUGACGGUAACACUUGAAUAAGCAACGGCUAAUUACGUGCCAGCAGCCGCGGUAACACGUAAGUUGCGAGCGUUGUUCGGAAUUAUUGGGCGUAAAGGGCAUGUAGGCGGUUUUGCAAGCUUGGUGUGAAAUCCCGGAGCUUAACUCCGGAAUUGCGUUGAGAACUGCAUAACUAGAGUCACUGAGGGGCAAUCAGAAUUCCAGGUGUAGGGGUGAAAUCUGUAGAUAUCUGGAAGAAUACCAAUGGCGAAGGCAGGUUACCAGCAGAUGACUGACGCUGAGGUGCGAAGGUGCGAAGAGCAAACAGGAUUAGAUACCCUGGUAGCCU
rnacentral:rRNA from 1 species